rnacentral:sRNA from 1 species
GAGCUAGCUACGUAUGUAUAUUGAAAUA